CUUCAGAGCCUCCGUAACACCCUUUACAAGGCGUAUCUGGAGGCUUUCUACAAGUUCUGCUCCAACUUGGGAGGAACGACCGCUGACACCAUGUGUCCUAUUCUGGAGUUUGAAGCUGACAGGAGAGCCUUCAUCAUCACCAUUAACUCAUUUGGCACAGAGCUGUCCAAGGAGGACCGUGCCAAACUCUUUCCCCACUGAACGAAA